rnacentral:rRNA from 1 species
GGCGACCGGCGCACGGGUGCGUAACGCGUAUGCAACCUACCUUAUACAAAGGGAUAGCCCAUGGAAACGUGGAUUAAUACCUUAUAGUACUAUAAAGCUACCUGGUUUAAUAGUUAAAACUUCGGUGGUAUAAGAUGGGCAUGCGUAGGAUUAGCUAGAUGGUGGGGUAACGGCCCACCAUGGCGACGAUCCUUAGGGGUUCUGAGAGGAUUAUCCCCCACACUGGUACUGAGACACGGACCAG